CUCGCUCCCUUUCUCGCGCGUCGCCGCCUGCCUCCUCUCCUCCCCGCGACCCCGCACCACGUCUUCUCCCAGGCGCCCACUCGCCCCGCCCCCGAUUGAACCCUAGUCGCCACUCCUCGCUGGCCACGGCCGCCACGCGCAUCGCCGCCAGAGGGCGCCGCCGGUUGUGGGCGCGCCUCCGCGGAUUCGCGCCGCGGUUGCCGGAGGCGUGGGCGCCGCGGGUCAACCUCCUCGGGGACGAUGGGCGUGGCCCCGCCGUCCCGCCCUGCCCGCCGUGGCUGCCAUGGACGAGCUCGAGGUCGACUGGGGAGCAAGGGGCUGCCCCGCCCGUCCCGCUCGCCAUGGUCAUGGCCAUGGCCGAUGACCGCGGCCCCGCCCGCCGCGGCGGCCAUGGACGAGCUCGAGCUCGAUGGGGGAGCAACGGGGAGAGGAACGUGAGGCUAUGGGGGAGGAAGAAGAUGGCCCCCUCGUUCUUGCCGUCAGUUCGUCGCUCGAUCUGUGCCAGCCUGCUGCGUCAAAUGUGAUGGAUUCGUUGUGCGACGCCGGUGUUCCUUGUUCUUGCCGUCGUUGCGCUAGAUCUGAUGGUGCGUUCAUCAAUUUGUGGGUGCUCGUUCUUCUCGUCAGUUCGUCGCUCGAUCUGUGCCAGCCUGCUGCGUCUUCAUCCAGGGAUGUACAGGCUGGCCAAUGAGAGGCAAAGGGUAUUAUUCCCUGGUUGGAUUUAUGUGGUGUCCUAUCUUCCUUAAUUCCUGGAUUAUAGCUAAAAGAGAGCUGACUAGGCCCGCCUGGGAGAGCAGGCCUGCACUCGCGUCGCGCCCUUUCCUCUCCCUGCCGCCUCGCCUCUCUCCCUGCCUGCUUGUUGCCCCGGUCGUCUUUGAUGGUGCUCCUAGAUGUGCUAUACAUCACCUCCUCAUCUCCUUGGCCACUUCGGUGCCCAUGGCUUUCGUGCUCGUCGGCGGGAUGGUGCAAGGCGCAACUCCGACGUGGUUCCUCACUGGUUGGAUGGCGUUCAGGCGCAACCCCGGUGCCCUCUGAGUACUGCCUCGGCUACAACCUCCCUCUGUGAGCUCCAUCUUCCCCUGCUCUGCUUCGGCUACUAUAUGGGACAUGGACAGGGCUAUGAUGAUCAGUUAUGGCUGAUAUAGGCAUGCUCUCAAGCAGUCGAGGCACUUGUGUGUAUUAAUUUGGAUCCUCCCUCGUUUCUUUGAGCUGUUUUGAUCACGUUCUUAUUUUAGUGGCUCUGUCCUUGGAUGGUCAUUUCUAAUGAGUGAUAACCAGGGCAGGUAAACCCUCGUAAGAACAUAUUGAUCCGGUGAUCCAUCCAGAAAUCCAGAAAUAAGAGAAGGAUGUCUCACCGAGCUCUCACAGCGAUUAGGGACUCUCGGCCGUCGGAUCGGUUUGCUUGAUGCGAUUCUGGGCGACGGAUCUCGCUCCGGAUUGUUCUCGCCAUCUCGGCCGUUGGAUCGAGCCUGAACUCCUGCAGUAAUGAAUAGUUACUCCCAAAAUGAGAUAUCUCGUGCCACCAUGUUUGAAUCACGUGCCCCAUCGGUCGGAAGCCAUUCUUGCUAGGGCGAUGAUGAUUAGCCGUGGGUAUCAAGUUGGGUCCUCCCUCUUGUCUCUAGAAUCCUUUUUGAUCCUGUGAUACUUAUUGUUCUGCCCUUUGGAUGGUCAUUCUUAUUGAGUGAUAACCAGGGCAGCUCCACUGUAUAAACAGAUUGAUCUGGUGAUAAGAGAUGAUGGGGGUAGAUUAUAUGAUCGAGGAAAGGAAAAUCUGAGCCCAUAUGCAUUGAAUCCUAAACCCUUUUUAUUCGCACGUGCCCCACCGGUCGGAAGCCAUCCUUGCUAGGGCGAUGAUGAUUCGCUGUGGCUGAAAUAAGUGUGCCUUUGAGCAAUCAAGGCACCUGUGGGUAUCAAGUUGGGUCCUCCCUCUUGUCUCUAGAAUCCUUUUUUAUCAUGUGAUACUUAUUGUUCUGUCCUUGGAUGGUCAUUCUUGUUGAGUGAUAACCAGGGCAGCUCCACUGUAUAAACAGAUUAAUCUGGUGACAAGAGAUGGCAGGGGUAGAUUAUAUGAUCGAGGAAAGGCAAAUCUGAUCCCACUAUGCAUUGAACCCUGAACCCUUUUUAUUUGUAUUUAAAGGUGUUGCUUAUUUAUGCUCCAGUGUUUAUAGCCGUCUUAUGUGAAUAUUUCUUCUCUCUCAUACCUUUAUUGCAUAUAAGUUGUUCUUGACUUUUAUUGUUUGUUGUUGGUCCUUGAUUUCAUCUGGUUAAGAGUAAGCAAGUUGUCGGUUCAAUGGCUUGUUUUAAUUUGUUGAUAAACCAGCAGAAACCACGGUGUCAUGUUUCUAAUAACAGCGUCUUUAGGCUGGUUAAUGUUUGUAUUGGAGACCACUACCUUUUAUUUCGCUUGUUUCUUACCAUCUUCCUUGCUUCUCUGGCUGUUUCACGGUUGGGACGGUGGCAUGGCGUUGGGGCUGUCUUGCGGGUCGGCCGGAGAGGGAGCACACCGAGUGGGCUUCUAAGAUGGCUGAGGUCACCAGCUACAGCUAGCCCAACGUCAUACAGGUGUAACGAGGAACACAUACGAGGAGUGGACGAUGCCAGAGGUGAGGUUCUACUGUGGAGUGCCAGGUUGGUUGCCAUGGGAGGAUCUGGCUAGCUUUGCUAAGGAAGGAAGGGUUAAAGGAACUUGAAGCAGACAUUGGUUGUGGUCCUCUGGAGUUGGUACAUGACUUGCUUAAUAUUAUCGGUAGCAUCCUGUUUUAUCUACAAAUUUAUGAUGACAAUGAAUCUCAUUAUACUCACUUUUCCAGUGAGGCCAAUCUUCAGAUCCUAUUUACUGUCGUGGAAAAUGCAUCCUCUGAGAUCGUCUGAUCUAACUGCAUUAUAGAGAAAUCACCAUGCUUAGAACCAGGCAGGAGCUUACCUCAUGCUGGAAGAACUUGGAGGAGCGGAAGGCCAAUGCCUCGAUUCGUCUGAGUCCUUGUAGGCUUGUAGAUCCUACAUGAGCUUCUUCCUGUGCCGGCAUCCGCUUCAUCAUGCGACGCCGCUUUGUUGUCGCUGAUGCUCAUGGGGCAAAGAAUGUCAUUCUUAUCCUAAAGAUUAGUAGAUUAUCAAAAACAAAACUCCCCUAGACUGUAUUAGUAUUAUGUGGCUAGAGUGCAACUUUGAAAAGGCCAGCCUUGCUCCAUCUGAUUGUUGAUUUAUAUAUUUUCCUGUAGAAAUGAAGAAGCUUAUUUUAUGUUUUGUAGCCACCACCCAAAUUGGCUGUUUCAUUAGUAUUUUGCAUGCCUUGUUAUUAUAGGUUUGUAAAAAUGCAGUCUGUGAGAUAGUACUUCCUUUCAUUUAUUACCAUGCUUUGAUUUUUUCUGUGCUUGGAUUAUAAAGUGGACGUGUAGUAAAUUUGAAUUGCACACCUACGAGUUGAUUCUUCUAGGGACUAGAUUGCGUACUUAAUUCAAAAAUUAAUUUAGUUCAUCUUUAAAAGGGAUAAUCGCAUAUUUAAAAAACUAGUCAAUGUGUACGUGCAAUGCACAUUAAUUUGGAAGUAUAUCAAGUGGAUGCGGAUAUUAAGUAGGAUAUUAUUUGCGUGUUAUUAUAUUUGGCAUGAAAUUAAUUACACGCUAAACGUGUUGAGCGCUCGACAUUGAAGCAGUCUAGGUCGUUGGAUUGACAUGAUUUGAUGGCCGAGAUUAAUUGGAUCUGCCCCUUUGGGUCUUUUUAUAUUGCUAUAGAUUUAUUUUUCUAAACAAGCUUUCAGUUGCGCUUCACAAAUAUGUUGCUAGCUGAGGUUUAGAAUUUAUUUGGCAGAAACUGUUCUAGGAUUACUAUUGUAGUAUCUCUGUGAGGAACUUCUGUUAAUAUUCGAUAAGUGCCAACAAAUGUCCAAGUAUUGUGGGUUUAAUUUCCUGGCAAGGAACUUUAUGCUUGCAAAACCUAGCUACUUUCAUUCAUUCAGCCACUUUUACCUUCAUUGACAAUUUUACUUUGCGUCAGUUAAAUCUUGACAUACUUUAACACUAAUCUGAAGGAACAAACUCGAAGUAACUUCCGUUAUUGCUAUUUGCCUCCCCAGUUGCAGUUGCACGGCCAGCCGCCGAUUUUGGGAUCUUGCCAGAUAUGUUGAUGUGUUCUUCUGUAGGUUCGUCCAUCGUUCGCACGUGCUCGCUGUUCUUGUCGGUUCGUCGUUCGAUCUGUGCCAGUCUGUUGGGUCUUCGUCCGGUGCUUUGCAGGUCGACCCCUUUCCAAGGUUUACGAGUCGACAAGUCGACGAGUCGUUCCGAGGUUGCACAUCAUUACAAAUUCUACAUGAUCAAUGCGCUUAUCUGUGAAUGAGCACAAGAGGAAGACAAAGGAAGAAUACAUGCAAUUAACAAUACAAAUGGGGAUUAAUCUACCCUAAGUAAAGACUGGAUGUUCUUUUUAUGAGGCUAUAUUUAUCCCUGUAGGAUGUUCCCUAUAACUCCGAAAUCUGAAGGUAUGGUGGCAUUGAAACAGUUACCUAUCUCCAUUUCUAUUAGUGACAUGCCAUAUGGUUGUGAAUUGAAAUGACCGAUGUUUCAUUACUUCUUGAUUAUUGACCGCUUUUUACAUUGGCCAGUCGUAUGUAAUCAUUUGCUUCAGCCCUGAUGACCAGUUAUCCAGAUGCCAAGAUGUUUUGACGAAGUUUAUAUUGCUAUGCCAUAUUAAAAUAGUGCUCUUAGAUUGGCUCAAACUACUACUAUGGCCUGCUUGUGUUAUGUCGUACUAAACCAUCUUGAUUCUCUUGGUAGUUUCGGCUGCAUUUUCUACCACACUCCCCAAACUAAUUUAAAGGAAACAUACAUGAGUUGCUUGAUGUCAGUUUACUAAUCUUGCCUUCUUGAUAGUUCCUUUUUAGUCACUGUAGAUAUCAAUUUUUGUAAAAAUGUUGAGAUAUCCUCUCCAGGAAUAUGGUUUUUUCAUCACUUUCAGGCCAACGUUACUCAACUUUUCUUUGAGCGACGAGGAACUUCAACCAUUCUUGGCGAAGGACUGCUAUCUGAUUGUCACUAGCCCCCUGUGUAAAUGCUUCGCUUUCAAUAUUUUGUACUAUCUUGCUGCCCUACUCAAGCCUGAUCUAUUAAACAUUACUUGGUUUA